rnacentral:lncRNA from 1 species
GUGACAAUAUCAGACUUCAUAUAUCAUCAUCAGUUUCAUACAUAUAUAUCAUCAUCAGUUUCAUACAUAUAUAUACAAGGCUACAACAGUACCAACCACAAAAGGACCUGCCAACUACAACAAUACUAGCAAAAUACACCAACUUGCAACUACCACCACAUGUAUUCUCAUUCCUAAGCCAUACCGGAUACAGAAGUCCACAAAAGAGCAUAUCAAGACCACCUAUAGUCUGAUGUUAUCGUGUUGUUUGAGCAUGGCUGGUUGUGUCAACGGUCUGAUCGACAUCAACAUUCCCAGUGGCGUCAUUCUCCUCGCUCGAACCCAUGACAUCAUUGUUUCCAUCAACCGCUUGCGAGCCAGCUUGAGAUGAGUUAUUUGUCCCCUGAAUUAAGCCCAAGUUACCAAAUUUUUAUUUAAUCUGGUUUAGAACAAUAAAAUGCAAUACUUUGUUGGAUGACAAGUGGAGACAACACAACCAAAUAAUUAGAUAUCUAAACUAAGCAUAGAUAUCUAAACUAUCCUGUUUUUAUGCAAUGCAGACCAUAGAUAUCUAAAUUAUCAGCAUAGAAAUAUCGAACUUACAAGCAUGUUUAGUUCAGAUUUCUUACUCUGACAAGCAUGCUUAGUUUGCCUAAGAAAGGAUGCCACCUACUGCUAACACCACAACAAUUUUUAGAGUAACGGAGUUCCAGAGCUAAAAAACCACCGAAGCACAUUUACUGAGAAAUAGCAGCCCUGGACAUUAGAACCCCG